rnacentral:rRNA from 1 species
CAUACCACGUUGAAUACAUCGGCUCUCGUCCGAUCACCGAAGUUAAGCAACGUGGGGCGCGGUCAGUACUUGGAUGGAUGACGGACUGGGAACACCGCUU